GACGAACGCUGGCGGCGUGCUUAACACAUGCAAGUCGAGCGGAAAGGCCACUUCGGUGGUACUCGAGCGGCGAACGGGUGAGUAACACGUGAGUAAUCUGCCCUUCACUUUGGGAUAACCCCCGGAAACGGGAGCUAAUACCGGAUACGACCUUCAACCGCAUGGUUUGUUGGUGGAAACUUUUUGGGUGGGGGAUGUGCUCGCGGCCUAUCAGCUUGUUAGUGGGGUAAUGGCCUACCAAGGCUUUGACGGGUAGCCGGCCUGAGAGGGUGACCGGCCACACUGGGACUGAGACACGGCCCAGACUCCUACGGGAGGCAGCAGUGGGGAAUAUUGGACAAUGGGCGGAAGCCUGAUCCAGCAACGCCGCGUGAGGGAUGACGGCCUUCGGGUUGUAAACCUCUUUCAGCACCGACGAAGCGCAAGUGACGGUAGGUGCAGAAGAAGGACCGGCCAACUACGUGCCAGCAGCCGCCGUAAUAC
rnacentral:rRNA from 1 species